rnacentral:rRNA from 1 species
UGGUGGAGUGAUUUGUCUGGUUAAUUCCGUUAACGAACGAGACCUCAGCCUGCUUGUGUAGUGGGGCGUACGCCUCCGGGCGUACGUACAUGGCUCACUUCUUAGAGGGACUAUCGAUGUUGCAGUCGAUGGAAGUUUGAGGCAAUAACA